rnacentral:rRNA from 1 species
CAGGUAUUCCUUAGUAGCGGCGAGCGAACAGGAAAGAAGCCCAGCACUGAAUCCCGCCGUUGUUCAGGCGGCGGGAGAUGUGGUGUUCGGGAGGUUCCGCUUUCUCGUCGCGAUCUCUCCUGUCCAAGUUCGUCUUGAACGGGGCCGUUUUCCCGUAGAGGGUGCCAGGCCCGUAGCGACGGAGGACCGCGGCGAGAGGGACUCUCCUUAGAGUCGGGUUGCUUGAGAGUGCAGCCCUAAGUGGGUGGUAAACUCCAUCUAAGGCUAAAUAUUACCGCGAGACCGAUAGCGAACAAGUACCGUAAGGGAAAGUUGA